rnacentral:rRNA from 1 species
GACGAACGCUGGCGGCGUGCUUAACACAUGCAAGUCGAACGGAAAGGCCCUGCUUUUGUGGGGUGCUCGAGUGGCGAACGGGUGAGUAACACGUGAGUAACCUGCCCUUGACUUUGGGAUAACUUCAGGAAACUGGGGCUAAUACAGGAUAGGAGCUCCUGCUGCAUGGUGGGGGUUGGAAAGUUUCGGCGGUUGGGGAUGGACGCGCGGCUUAUCAGCUUGUUGGUGGGGUAGUGGAUUACCAAGGCUUUGACUGGUAGGCGGCCUGGGAGGGUGACCGGGCACCUGGGGCCUGAGAUACGGCCCAGACUCCUACGGGAGGCAGCAGUGGGGAAUAUUGCACAAUGGGCGGAAGCCUGAUGAAGCAACGCUGCGUGUGGGAUGCCGGCCUUCUGGUUGUAAACCGCUUUCGCCUGAGACGAAGCGUGAGUGACGGUAAUGGGUAAAGAAGCACCGGCUAACUACGUG